rnacentral:lncRNA from 1 species
ACAUUACAGCUAAAUUGAAUAGCAGACUGGAAAAUAUUUAGCAUAUUGUUCCUUCAACCCAUGAGGAUUGAACAUGGGUUGAUAUGAACAGUGCACAUGCCUCUAUGGAGGGAGACAAAACAUAGACGUAUUACUACUUUCAGGAGUUACAAUCUCACUAAAGAGAUGUGAUGUACAAAAAUGGUAUAUAGGAUUGUGUGAAGAGACAGAGAUAUCUCUCUGG